rnacentral:lncRNA from 1 species
GUGGUGGCUUGUGCACCGGAACCGGAGGAGGGUGCUCGACCUUUGGCGGUGGCUUGUGUACCGGAACCGGAGGCGGGUGCUCGACCUUUGGAGGUGGCUUGUGUACCGGAACCGGAGGCGGGUGCUCAACCUUUGGCGGUGGCUUGUAAACGGGAACCGGAGGCGGGUGCUCGACCUUUGGAGGACAUGGCUUCUUAGGGGUCGGCGGUGGAAGCUCUACCUUCGGCGGUGGGUCGUGAACUGGUACAGGAGGUGGGUGCUCAAUCUUCGGAGGUUUAGGUGGACAAGGCUUCUUAAUAAUCGGCGGUGGAAGUUCCACCUUUGGUGGUGGCUCGUGAACGGGGACAGGGGGUGGAACCUCUUCCUUUGGUGGUGGCUCGUGAACGGGGACAGGGGGUGGAACCUCUUCCUUAGGCGGUGGAUCGUAAACCGGAACCGGAGGCGGAACCUCUGCCUUUGGCGGUGGCUCGUAGACCGGAACCGGAGGAGGAACCUCCUCGGGAGGGCUGUAUUUAGGUGGACAGGGUAUCUUGAAUUUAGGAAAAGGUGGAAGUACCAAAGGCG